rnacentral:rRNA from 1 species
GUCUAUGGCCAUACUACCCCGAACAUGCCCAAUCUCAUCUGAUUUUGGAAGCUAAGCAGGGUUGGGCCUGGUUAGUACUUGGAUGGGAGAUAAAAAGUUCUCCUGAUACUUAAAAAC